rnacentral:rRNA from 1 species
GAUGAACGCUGGCGGCGUGCCUAAUACAUGCAAGUCGAGCGAACAGACGAGGAGCUUGCUCCUCUGACGUUAGCGGCGGACGGGUGAGUAACACGUGGAUAACCUACCUAUAAGACUGGGAUAACUACGGGAAACCGGAGCUAAUACCGGAUAAUAUAUUGUACCGCAUGGCUCAUUAGUGAAAGACGGUUUUGCUGUAACAUAUAGAUGGAUCCCCGCCGCAUUAGCUAGUUGUUAAGGAAACGGCUUACCAAGGGGACGAUGCGUAGCGGACCUGGGAGGGUGUUCGCCAACACUGGAACUAGAACACGGUCCGGACUCCUACGGGAGGCAGAAUAAGGGAAUCUUCCGCAGAGGGCGAACGCCGGACGGAGCAACGCGGGGUGGGUGAGGAAGUUCUCGGGUUCGUAAGACUCUUUUAUUGGGGAAGAACGAUUGUGGAAGUGACUAUGCACGUCUUGACGGUACCUUAUCAGAAAGCCACGGCUAACUACGUG